rnacentral:rRNA from 1 species
CUGGCUCAGGACGAACGCUGGCGGCGUGCUUAACACAUGCAAGUCGAACGGAAGUAGAAAUACUUAGUGGCGGACGGGUGAGUAACGCGUGAGCAACCUGCCCUUAUCAGGGGGAUAACACAGAGAAAUUUGUGCUAAUACCGCAUAACGUUGCGAAUAGGCAUCUAAUUGCAACCAAAGAUUUAUCGGAUAAGGAUGGGCUCGCGUCCCAUUAGGUAGUUGGUGAGGUAACGGCCCACCAAGCCGACGAUGGGUAGCCGAUCUGAGAGGAUGAACGGCCACAUUGGAACUGAGAGACGGUCCAGACUCCUACGGGAGGCAGCAGUGGGGAAUAUUGGGCAAUGGGCGCAAGCCUGACCCAGCAACGCCGCGUGAAUGAAGAAGGUUUUCGGAUUGUAAAGUUCUGUGAUGGGGACGAAGAAAGUGACGGUACCCCAAUAGCAAGCUACGGCUAACUACGUGCCAGCCGCCGC